CAAUGACGAAGUAGAAUUUCCAAUGCAAUAACUAAGACAUUACAAUGUUCAUCUCAUCAACUUUACCAUCUCAUUAUAGGGUUUAUAAUCAUAUAUUUACAACCUCAAGCAUGCUAGAUAUAAGAGUUAAACCAAGUACAUUACUCUACAAGAAGCAUGCAAUAUAUAUAUAGAACCAACAAUCAACAUCACCCUAUAAUGCAAGAACAAAUGCAAUUUGAUCAAUGAUACUAGAGUUUCUAGUACAACAACCAAUCCAUUACUAAGUUCAAGUUAUUUGUGUUUCAGUCACACUAAGUCCAAUGCCACUUGUAAACUAUGUCUUUAAAUACAACACAUAGGUUCUUCUUUCAUUUAGCAUCAUAGGUUUACCAAUGUCAUCUCAUAAUCCUUAUGUCCAUUACAUCAUAUACCAUAUCAUAAUACUAUAUUGAUCAUAAACAUCAUAUAAGGAUUAGGAAUGCAUGUAUUGUCAUCCUAUAAUGCAUAGCAACAUACAAUAUGCUUAAUACAAUUGAUAAAGUACUAAGACAUAGGGAGAAGCCCGAUUGCUUCGGAUGACACCCCCCACCUUUUAUCGCGUUCCGAUUGCUCGUCG
rnacentral:lncRNA from 1 species